UUAAGCGACUAAGCGUACACGGUGGAUGCCCUGGCAGUCAGAGGCGAUGAAGGACGUGCUAAUCUGCGAAAAGCGUCGGUAAGGUGAUAUGAACCGUUAUAACCGGCGAUGUCCGAAUGGGGAAACCCAGUGUGAUUCGUCACACUAUCGUUAACUGAAUACAUAGGUUAACGAGGCGAACCGGGGGAACUGAAACAUCUAAGUACCCCGAGGAAAAGAAAUCAACCGAGAUUCCCCCAGUAGCGGCGAGCGAACGGGGAGCAGCCCAGAGUCUGAAUCAGCUUGUGUGUUAGUGGAACGGUCUGGAAAGUCCGACGGUACAGGGUGAUAGUCCCGUACACCAAAAUGCACAGGUUGUGAACUCGAAGAGUAGGGCGGGACACGUGGUAUCCUGUCUGAAUAUGGGGGGACCAUCCUCCAAGGCUAAAUACUCCUGACUGACCGAUAGUGAACCAGUACCGUGAGGGAAAGGCGAAAAGAACCCCGGCGAGGGGAGUGAAAAAGAACCUGAAACCGUGUACGUACAAGCAGUGGGAGCACCUUCGGGUGUGACUGCGUACCUUUUGUAUAAUGGGUCAGCGACUUAUAUUCUGUAGCAAGGUUAACCGUAUAGGGGAGCCGCAGGGAAACCGAGUCUUAACUGGGCGUUAAGUUGCAGGGUAUAGACCCGAAACCCGGUGAUCUAGCCAUGGGCAGGUUGAAGGUUGGGUAACACUAACUGGAGGACCGAACCGACUAAUGUUGAAAAAUUAGCGGAUGACUUGUGGCUGGGGGUGAAAGGCCAAUCAAACCGGGAGAUAGCUGGUUCUCCCCGAAAGCUAUUUAGGUAGCGCCUCGUGAAUUCAUCUUCGGGGGUAGAGCACUGUUUCGGCUAGGGGGUCAUCCCGACUUACCAACCCGAUGCAAACUACGAAUACCGAAGAAUGUUAUCACGGGAGACACACGGCGGGUGCUAACGUCCGUCGUGAAGAGGGAAACAACCCAGACCGCCAGCUAAGGUCCCAAAGUCAUGGUUAAGUGGGAAACGAUGUGGGAAGGCACAGACAGCCAGGAUGUUGGCUUAGAAGCAGCCAUCAUUUAAAGAAAGCGUAAUAGCUCACUGGUCGAGUCGGCCUGCGCGGAAGAUGUAACGGGGCUAAACCAUGCACCGAAGCUGCGGCAGCGACACUAUGUGUUGUUGGGUAGGGGAGCGUUCUGUAAGCCUGCGAAGGUGACCUGUGAGGGUUGCUGGAGGUAUCAGAAGUGCGAAUGCUGACAUAAGUAACGAUAAAGCGGGUGAAAAGCCCGCUCGCCGGAAGACCAAGGGUUCCUGUCCAACGUUAAUCGGGGCAGGGUGAGUCGACCCCUAAGGCGAGGCCGAAAGGCGUAGUCGAUGGGAAACAGGUUAAUAUUCCUGUACUUGGUGUUACUGCGAAGGGGGGACGGAGAAGGCUAUGUUAGCCGGGCGACGGUUGUCCCGGUUUAAGCAUGUAGGCUGGUUAUCCAGGCAAAUCCGGAUAAUCAAGGCUGAGGUGUGAUGACGAGGCACUACGGUGCUGAAGUAACAAAUGCCCUGCUUCCAGGAAAAGCCUCUAAGCAUCAGGUAACAUCAAAUCGUACCCCAAACCGACACAGGUGGUCAGGUAGAGAAUACCAAGGCGCUUGAGAGAACUCGGGUGAAGGAACUAGGCAAAAUGGUGCCGUAACUUCGGGAGAAGGCACGCUGGUGUGUAGGUGAAGUCCCUGCGGAUGGAGCUGAGACCAGUCGAAGAUACCAGCUGGCUGCAACUGUUUAUUAAAAACACAGCACUGUGCAAACACGAAAGUGGACGUAUACGGUGUGACGCCUGCCCGGUGCCGGAAGGUUAAUUGAUGGGGUUAUCCGUAAGGAGAAGCUCUUGAUCGAAGCCCCGGUAAACGGCGGCCGUAACUAUAACGGUCCUAAGGUAGCGAAAUUCCUUGUCGGGUAAGUUCCGACCUGCACGAAUGGCGUAAUGAUGGCCAGGCUGUCUCCACCCGAGACUCAGUGAAAUUGAACUCGCUGUGAAGAUGCAGUGUACCCGCGGCAAGACGGAAAGACCCCGUGAACCUUUACUAUAGCUUGACACUGAACAUUGAGCCUUGAUGUGUAGGAUAGGUGGGAGGCUUUGAAGCGUGGACGCCAGUCUGCGUGGAGCCAACCUUGAAAUACCACCCUUUAAUGUUUGAUGUUCUAACGUUGGCCCCUGACCGGGGUUGCGGACAGUGUCUGGUGGGUAGUUUGACUGGGGCGGUCUCCUCCCAAAGCGUAACGGAGGAGCACGAAGGUUAGCUAAUCCUGGUCGGACAUCAGGAGGUUAGUGCAAUGGCAUAAGCUAGCUUGACUGCGAGCGUGACGGCGCGAGCAGGUGCGAAAGCAGGUCAUAGUGAUCCGGUGGUUCUGAAUGGAAGGGCCAUCGCUCAACGGAUAAAAGGUACUCCGGGGAUAACAGGCUGAUACCGCCCAAGAGUUCAUAUCGACGGCGGUGUUUGGCACCUCGAUGUCGGCUCAUCACAUCCUGGGGCUGAAGUAGGUCCCAAGGGUAUGGCUGUUCGCCAUUUAAAGUGGUACGCGAGCUGGGUUUAGAACGUCGUGAGACAGUUCGGUCCCUAUCUGCCGUGGGCGCUGGAGAAUUGAGGGGGGCUGCUCCUAGUACGAGAGGACCGGAGUGGACGCAUCACUGGUGUUCGGGUUGUCAUGCCAAUGGCACUGCCCGGUAGCUAAAUGCGGAAGAGAUAAGUGCUGAAAGCAUCUAAGCACGAAACUUGCCCCGAGAUGAGUUCUCCCUGAGACUUUAAGUCUCCUGAAGGAACGUUGAAGACGACGACGUUGAUAGGCCGGGUGUGUAAGCGCAGCGAUGCGUUGAGCUAACCGGUACUAAUGAACCGUGAGGCUUAACCUU
rnacentral:rRNA from 1 species